rnacentral:lncRNA from 1 species
UCUCCGGGCUUUUGCAUGCCUUCUGGAGACAAACAAGCCAGACAAGGCUUCAGAUUCAGGGGCUGAACUUUUAUAUCAAAGGGCACCUCUUCUGCACCAGUCCUGUGCUAUGUGUAUAAUGAGGGAUAAAAGGACAGUGGUCCCCGCCUUGGAGAAGCUGACCUUUGGGGCAGGUGCGGGUACAGG